CUUGGUCUAGAGGAAGUAAAAGUCGUAACAAGGUUUCCGUAGGUGAACCUGCGGAAGGAUCAUUAUUACGUAUCCAACGUAUCAAAACCAAAUCGUGAACUGUCUGUCCCAUCUGAUGAGGGUUUCUGCGGGUGUUUGAUUCUUGUUGGAAGAAAGUAAGCAUAGUAAAGGGAGGCUAACUACCUCUUGUUGAAGUCUUCCAAUGCAAACCUCGGUUCCUGUUGGGACGCAAGUCUCUUCAGCUCGUCAGAUGCGGUUUUCUACUUUUCAUUUAUUACUAUGCUUCACAAUUAUCAAUUAACCCCAUGUACAAACAUUCUGGACUGACAUACAGAGUUUAAAUCCUUAACCGGAUUUCUCUGGCAAAUCUGAAACUUAAGAACAACUCUUAACAACGGAUAUCUUGGUUCUC
rnacentral:misc_RNA from 1 species